CAGAAAUAGCAAUCUGCAGCCGGCAAGGGGGCGGCACUUAGUCAGGCUCCGCCCACAAGACCCGGCUGCCGUCCCCGCCCGCCUGCGCGGGAUCGACUCCGCAUGCGCACUGGAGCCUCGGAAUACAGCCAGGACUCUCCCGUCGGAAUGCGCCCCUAAGUUGGGCCAAGCCCAUUCAUUCAGGGGCUCCCGAGCCACGUAGGCGCCAUCCCUGGCCAGAGGGGUUCUGAGGAGGUGGGCAAGGGCAGACACUCUCUCCCGGUCUCAAAUUCGAAAUAGGGACUAGAAGGGAACUUCACGCGAGGCCUCGCAACUGUCGCGAGAAUCAGAACAGGAAAUCUAGGAACCGAGAACACUAAGAGCCCGCGGAUUUUAAACAGGAAAAAGAAAGGGCGGAGCAAACUCUGGCGGAUAGUUGUGAGUAAUCCCUGGUCCUUGGAAUAAGUGUCGACCUGAGACAGAAGGGGAACUGUCAGAGAGCUGCCGGAGACCCUGAAAAAGGCCAGAGACGGGGACUUGUGGGGCUGACGAAUGGAAUCACCCAAGGAGAGGUCUCUGACUCUAACAAAACACCUUGGGGACGGAGCUCCUUGGCUGGGAUACAGAGCAGACAAGUCCGGGAUCUUUUAGUGAAUUGCUGCCGGCUUCUAAGGCCUGGAGCAGAUAUUCAACAACAAACUCCACGGACCUAGAAACUCUCCACUUAUCCUACUAUUGUAGACGGUGGCUUACUUUUAGUCUUCCCUAUGCUCUAAGCUUCUGGUAGUAGGAAUCGUGCCUAACUCACUACUGUAUCUUGUGAACCUAGCCCCGCGCCUGGUGGCACGUCAAAUUCUCGGUAAAUAUUUGUGGAUUAAAUGUGAAAGACUGCCUGAGUGUUUAACCUGGAUUUUCUGAGUCGCUGAUGGAGAACAGUAGGUAGACGGGGAACCAGCGCCCUCUGGUGGGCUUGUGGUUCGUGACGAGAACAUGCUGGAACCGUGCAUCCAGCAUCCUCGUUCCUUCUGCCGGACUUCCAGAUUUCUAUUUCUGGCCCAAACCUCUCUCCUGAACAUCACUCCAUGGAUUCGUCUACAACCACUUCUAGUAUUUUCUUCCACAGCCAGGGAAGAAGUCCAUAAACAGCUCCCGGCUACAUCAUACUUAGGACGCCCAGAAAAAUGUAUCAGUAUAUCACAUCUCAGGGAAACCUUUUAUUGACUCUGUUUAGGUGAUGUGCUCAACAAUAAUUCACCACAUGGCCCAGGAGCCACCACCCUGGACCACAAACCCCAUAGCAGAUGCAGUCAGUACCUCACUCAUAUACCCUUGGCUCACUCCAAAGGUUACCUGCAGAUAGUUCCUUUAUGACCCGGUGUGUCUGUCUGUCGGAGGGAGUUCUUUAGCCCCUAGAGUCAGCUUGGCUGACAUGCAGGGCAGGCUGGAAAUGCUGUGGAGGUAACAACUCAGGAGCAAGCCACAUCCGGUGAGGAAAAACAAUAGAGGACAGAUAAUCCUGUUCCUUACCCUUCAGUGGGAUAAUUUUGAGGUGUGUUCUCCACAGUUUUGCAGAAGGCUUAGAGAGACUGAGUCACAGUUGUCCUCAGUGGUAACCUGCUCAUUAAUGCAUCCUUUAUUUGGUUUUCCUCCUCUCUCUGACUUCCCUUCCCCCUCACUGUGUUUUCUGGGAUAAACUCCCAAAUAAACUACUUGUACCAAAAUCCUUGCCUUGGGAUCUGCUUUCUGGGAAAUCAAAAUUAAGACAACCCCUGUAAAGGGAGGAGGCCAUCUUCCUGAGUGCCCCAUCAAGACCACAGGGACCAGGGGGAGAUCUUAGACCCCAAAACCACAUUGUGACAAUAUCUUUGCUGACAUCCCACUUUAUUUCCUUCCUUUUUUUUUUUUUUUAAGAGAUAGAAUCUUUUUCUGUGGCCAUGGCUGGAGUGCAGUGGCAUGAUCAUAGCUCACUGCAGCCUUGAACUUCUGGCGUUAAGCAAUCCUGCCUCAGCCUCCCAAGUAGCUGGAACUACAGGUGCAUGCCACCACACCUGGAUAAUUUUUUUUGGUAGAGACAGGGUCUGGCUCUGUUGCCCAGGCUGAUCUUAAACUCCUGGUCUCCCAAAGCACUGGAUAUCCCACUUUUUUCUUCUUCUUCUUCUGUUUUUGAGACAGUGUCUCUGUCACCCAGGCUGGAGUGCAAUGGCACGAUCUUGGCUCACUGCAAGCUCUGCCUCCCGGGUUCAAGCAAUUCUCCUGCCUCAGCCUCUUGAGUAGCUGGGAUUACAGGCACUUGCCACCAUGCCCGGCUAAUUUUUUUGUAUUUUUAGUAGAGAUGGGGUUUCGCCAUGUUGGCCAGGCUGGUCUCGAACUCCUGACCUCAGGUGAUCUGCCUGCCUCGGCCUUCCAAAGUGCUGGGAUUACAAGCAUGAGCCACUGCACCCGGCCUGGAUAUCCC
rnacentral:lncRNA from 1 species